rnacentral:rRNA from 1 species
UACGUAGGGUCCGAGCGUUGUCCGGAUUUACUGGGCGUAAAGCGCGCGCAGGCGGCGGUGCUGGCCCGGCGUGAAAGCCCCCGGCUCAACCGGGGAGGGUCGUCGGGGACCGCACCGCUUGAGGGCGGUAGGGGCUGGUGGAAUGCCUGGUGUAGUGGUGAAAUGCGUAGAGAUCAGGCGGAACACCCGUGGCGAAGGCGGCCAGCUGGGCCGUCCCUGACGCUGAGGCGCGAAGGCGUGGGGAGCGAACGGG